AGAGAAAAAAGAAAAAAAGCAACAUGCAAGGAAAGGCUCGAUUUUUAGAAAAAAAAUGCGAAGAAAACAAGUGAGUUCCCUGAGAGAUCUGCCUAUUUGGAAGAGAGAUGGAAGGAAAAUAGCCUUGUGAGGCUUCCACUUGAGAGGAGAGAAAGAGUUGAGUGAAAAAGGCUUGGAGGAGGCUCGGAUUUGUGGAAGUUAGGAGAAAAACUGAAAGGUUUUCUCUUGCAUGCCAUGGUUGGAGCUUUAGGAAGGCAUGAGAGGUUCGGCCUAGUGAUUCCAAGCUAAGGAAGGUUCUCCAAGAUUUGAAAGAAAUAGAUGCAUGCAUGUGGAUCAAUGUUGGAAUGCAUGGUGAUUUUUGAGAGAGUUAAGCAAUGGCAAUGAUGACCAUGGAUGGGAGGAAAUUGUGAAUCAUAUGCAAGACUCAAGCUAAAACUGAGAGGUGAGCAUGCAAUGUGUUUAAAUUGUGUUGUAUUGGUUAUGAACAGUUGAUAAUAUGUGAAAUGCUUGUUAAAAUGCUUACGGUUGAGGUUGAUGAAAAAUAUUAAAUUUGGUUUAAGAAUCAUUAAUCAAGCUGCUGCUCGUAUCUGUGUAUGAUUAAGCAUAUUAAGUUUAAUUUGUUGCUAGGAAAUGUUUAUUGUAGUGGCGUGCUAGAGGUAACAGGUGACUGGCAAGUAGAAUUAGCAGAUAUGCACUUAAGUCAAUAGCGACAUAGCGUCCCGCUAUUGUAAGGUGAGUGGGGUGUGUUAAUUUUAAAAUCUCCAUACUAUAUAUUGUUUUACGUUAAUAAAUGUCGUUGGUUUUCCUUAACUGCAUUUGUGGAUAGCAUGAGCUAUUAGCCUUGAUAGGCCAUUUUUAAAAUGGAUUUACAAUGAUUUAUCUAUUGCUAUUACGAAAAGUAUGAGCUGGUAGAAACUAUAGGAAAUUGUGGACGCAAGUGUUUUUAAAGUGAUUUGGAUAUAUCUAUAGAUAAGCUAUAUAUGUAAAGAGUUUUAGAAACCGAGAAACAAGCCUUUUACAAUGUUUGAAUCAAAAUCCGUACCUUGUAUUUUUGUGUGAUAUGCAUAGCUAAAUGCAUUUGUCAAAUGAUUUAAAAUGCAAGUUUGAGCAUCGAUUUUAUUAUGAUCUUUGUGCAAAGUGUUUUCACUAUGCCAUUUAAUGUGAAAAGCUAUUUGAAGGAUUAUUAAACUUUGAUUUCAAUUGAUUUAAAGGAAAAGCCUCAGAAAACUUGAUUUGGUUUCUAAAAUGGUUUUGACAAAUUGAGAGCGUUGAGAGUAGGUCGGUUCUCACUUCGGUUAAGUGUGACCCUUAUGCACAAGUGAGCUCUAGCUAGAGAACCUUUGGAUCGCUGAUAGGCUAUUAGACAUGGCUGAGGCCAUAGUCUGUGAUAUACGUGGCAAGCCCAUAGGUUGUUAUAUGUGGCUAGGCCACAAGUGACAUUCGUGGUUGCAACCACUUAAUUUCUCCGAUGUCGGCCAACAGCGUCAAGACUGCCAUGGCUACGGAGGAGAAAAGCUCUCAGAUGUUAUUACGUGGAAAUGGAUCCACGGGUGAUUAUGAUACUUACCUACUCGAGAGCCUUGUGAAUUUUCGACGCAUACUCUUUUGCAUGGUGGAGAGUUAAGAUUUCUUUGCAACUCCCUUGGUUCGAAUAAAAGCUUUCAGUGCUUAUUUAACGAACAUGAGAUGGUUUAUGUGGCCAUACACUUUGAUUUCUUUACAUGCCACACAUUUUGGGAGCGUGCAUACUUUAUAUUGUUGUUCAUAUUUUUACGGCAAGCAAUGUUUUUGAUGUUUAAACUUAAUUUCGUUAUAUUUGCUUUCGGCACCGUUUUGCUAAGUAAAAUAGUAUAAUGAUGAUUUUAUAGCUUCAUUUUUACAAGGCACAAACACUCUACUAGUGAUUUGAUUUGAUUGAUGGCAUGAAUAUGAACUAGUAGCUAACGAUUUAAGUCAGGCUUGUUCGAGACUUGGCGAGUUCUCCGGCGAGACUCAGACGUCGGUAGCGAUCGAGGAAAAGGUCACUACAUAUUCUCAUUUCAAUGUGUCCCAACACCUUUGGAAAAAUGUUCAACCCAUAGAUUGCUAAAGCCAUCAUACUUAUACCUUCCUCAUCCUCUAAAUGCUUUAUGAUAAAGUCUCGAAGAA